rnacentral:rRNA from 1 species
GAUGAACGCUAGCGGCAGGCCUAACACAUGCAAGUCGAGGAGCAGCACAGAAACAGCAAUGUUUUGGUGGCGACCGGCGGACGGGUGCGUAACGCGUAUGCAACCUACCUUUAACAGGGGGAUAACGGAGAGAAAUUUCCACUAAUACCCCAUAACAUCGAUCAAGGCAUCUUGAUUGGUUGAAAACUCCGGUGGUUAAAGAUGGGCAUGCGUUGUAUUAGGUAGUUGGUGAGGUAGUGGCUCACCAAGCCUACGAUACAUAGGGGGACUGAGAGGUUAGCCCCCCACACUGGUACUGAGACACGGACCAGACUCCUACGGGAGGCAGCAGUGAGGAAUAUUGGUCAAUGGGGGCAACCCUGAACCAGCCAUGCCGCGUGCAGGAAGACGGCUCUAUGAGUUGUAAACUGCUUUUAAACAGGGAUAAAGCACAGUAUGUAUACUGUGUUGAAGGUACUGUAAGAAUAAGGAUCGGCUAACUCCGUGCCAGCCGCCGCAGUAA